rnacentral:lncRNA from 1 species
UUAUCCAGUGAUCAAAACUAACGUUUCAGUUAAUAAAAGUUUAACUAUAUUUGUUUCUAGUCAGAAGUUGCUGGCACAAAUAAAGUCAUCCUAAUACCACCCAACGAAGGAACACAGCAGAAUAUUUCCUCAGCCCUGGCUCCGGAACCAGGCCAACCACCUGGUAAUGGGCAAGAUAUAAAAAAGAAAAAGCAGGAAAAGAAGAGUACAGACAGAUCUGGUGGUCAAGACGUCUUGAAUCUUCUACCUGCAACUACUGCUGCUCCACCACUGCCUGAUAAUGUCUCACCAUUAACCACAAGAGCUACAAGCAUUUCCCAGCCUGGUAGCUGCAAAGAAGUUGAGAACCCUGUUACUUCUGUUCCUGAGGAUGCUUCCUUGGCUCCUACACCAGCCGAUGAUGUAGAAUCACUUGCUCAAGACAGUGAGGGAUUGGCAAAGGAAAUAAAGAGGUAUUGUGUAAUGAUGCGUUUUAUCCAACUUCUGUCUUGGGUGUUCCCUGCUUCAGAAUAUAU